UUGUUCUUCUCUAUCACAACAAUAUUCUAAAAUGUUGCCAUAGAUAUUAAGAAAUGUUGCCAAAAAAUAAUAUUUAUUAUUUUAUUUAUGAGGUGUCACUUUGAGGCCACUCUAAUGACAUUUUAUCUAGUGUCAAUUCCGUGAUCAAAUCUUUGCCUACUUAUCCCCCGUUAAUUGAAUAGUAGCCCGAAAAGUGAAAUAAUUUUAAAAAAUUGUUUUAAGCUUUAUUUGUGAAAAUAAAAGAAUGAUUUAAAAAUAUUAUUUUUACAAACAUAAUAUAUUCGGGAUUUUUAGAAUUUUUCUAAAUUUGAAAAAUAUUUAUGGACUCCUAAAUUCAUUUAUUUGUUAUAUAUAGCUUUUAUAUUUGUUAAAACCAGUUUACACUUUACAAGCAGAGUAGUCGGUUCAAUUUGGGGAUAAAAACAGAGGUUAGGGUUCUCAAACCCAUUUGGCCGAUCGAUUCAAUCAGAGCGGCGGAGGACGGCUUUAGAGGCGACGCCGUCAGUAAUCGGAGGGAUUAUAGCUGAUAGGAGGAUCUGGACACGAGAGGCGUCCAGAUUUGUUUGAUUUCUGGGGUAAAUGGUAGUGUGUGGCUGGGGAAUUGACAUGCGGUCUCGGCUUUACUCUGGCCGGAAGUGUUGCGGCGUGGGGAUGAGCAGCGACGGCGUCUACUCGAUGACGGGUGGUAUACGAAGAUGUGGUAAAAGGUGGAUUGGAUCCCAAGAAGGAACCAAGAAUUUCAGGCCAAAGUGUUUAUGAGUGGUAAAUGAUUUCUUAAUUUUUGUUCAUAGCUUUUGGCAUAUGGGAGAAGUAUGUAAGAAAGACUGUGAAUCAUUAGUUAUUGAUUAUAAAUUUUUUUGAAGAAAUAGUUAUCACUUGUUUUCUUUUUGAUGGUUUUAACUUUUAAUUUUUAUCUGUUAGACUAUAUAUAAUGACUACUUUAAUAUUACAGAUCUCUGAGGAAAAUUGCAGUGCUUGUCCUUGAUGUUUUGUUACCAGAAUGAUGGUGUUUUGAGGAUAUGUAGCUUAAUAUUUCUUGAGCAAUAUCCUCUAGUUGAAAUAGGCAGGAAUAGUAAUUUGUAUAUGAUGCUGUGAAGUCGAUGACUUAGCACAAUGUUGGAGCCUUGGUAGUGCUAAGACCUGGGGAGCAAAAUGCAGUUGCUGGAAUCGUCACAUAAAGAGCUAUCUUGGAUGAUAAACUUAUUAAGAUGAGAGAACAGUUUGUAGCUGGUGUUGACGAGGAUUUGGAGGACAAACUUCACCCGGGAGGUCCAUCUGAUCCAUUGGGACUAGCAGAUGACCUUGAUCAGGCUGCACUUCUCGAGGUAAAGGAGGUCAAGAAGACUUGCAAUGUUUGCGAUGCUCGGAUUCUUGUUGCUUGGUUAAGUGUUGGCAUCAAGUAGUAGUAGGGACUAGGGAUGUAUAUUGUGGAUGUUGAUUUUGGAAUGGAAGGAAAUUUAUGUAUUCAAACUGUACCUUUUAAUUUGAUAAUUUAAAAACUAUUGCAGUUAGUAUAAAA